AUUGAACGCUGGCGGCAUGCCUUACACAUGCAAGUCGAACGGUAACAGGUCUUCGGAUGCUGACGAGUGGCGAACGGGGGAGUAAUACAUCGGAACGUGCCCGAUCGUGGGGGAUAACGAGGCGAAAGCUUUGCUAAUACCGCAUACGAUCUACGGAUGAAAGCGGGGGAUCUUCGGACCUCGCGCGGACGGAGCGGCCGAUGGCAGAUUAGGUAGUUGGUGGGAUAAAAGCUUACCAAGCCGACGAUCUGUAGCUGGUCUGAGAGGAUGAUCAGCCACACUGGGACUGAGACACGGCCCAGACUCCUACGGGAGGCAGCAGUGGGGAAUUUUGGACAAUGGGCGAAAGCCUGAUCCAGCCAUGCCGCGUGCAGGAUGAAGGCCUUCGGGUUGUAGACUGCUUUUGUACGGAACGAAAAGCCUCUUUCUAAUAAAGAGGGGUCAUGACGGUACCGGAAGAAUAAGCACCGGCUAACUACGUG
rnacentral:rRNA from 1 species